rnacentral:rRNA from 1 species
GAUGAACGCUGGCGGAGUGCCUAAUACAUGCAAGUCGAGCGAAGCGGGGACGGGUGAGUAACACGUGGAUAACCUCCUAUAAGACUGGGAUAAAUUCGGGAAACCGGAGCUAAAACGGAUACGUAUAGAUGGAUCCAUGCUGUAUUAGGUAGUUGGAAAGGUAAAGGCUUACCAAGGCAACGCUGCAUAGCAGACCUGAGAGGAUGAUCGGCCACACUGGAACUGAGACACGGUCCAGACUCCUACGGGAGGCAGCAGUGGGGAAUCUUCCGCAAGGGGCGAAAGCCUGACGGAGCAACGCCGCGUGAGUGAUGAAGGUCUUCGGAGUGUAAACCCCUGUUAUUAGGGAAGCGGUACCUAAUCAGAAAGCCACGGCUAACUACGUGCCAGCAGCCGCGGUAAUAC